rfam:Bradyrhizobium yuanmingense strain BR3267 contig1040, whole genome shotgun sequence.
UACCGGCAGUCCAACGCCGGCGCGGGCUACUGAAAAGGCUUGUCCUUCAUUGCCAGGUGAGCGGGCGGGAAACUCUCCCAACCAAUCCACGGCAGCACAGUCUGGUUUGAGUUUUUUAGCCCCAACGCGCCUCCAUCGCGCGAUGCGGCCGAAGCACUCUC